GAAUAUUGGACAAUGGGGGGAACCCUGAUCCAGCCAUGCCGCGAGUGUGAAGAAGGCCUUUUGGUUGUAAAUCUCUUUAAGCGAGGAGGAGGCUACUCUAGUUAAUACCUAGAGAUAGUGGACGUUACUCGCAGAAUAAGCACCGGAUAACUCUUUCCCAGCAGCCGCGGUAAUCCAGAGGGUGCAAGCGUUAAUCGGAUUUACUGGGCGUAAAGCGCGCGUAGGUGGCCAAUUAAGUCAAAUGUGAAAUCCCCGAGCUUAACUUGGGAAUUGCAUUCGAUACUGGUUGGCUAGAGUAUGGGAGAGGAUGGCAGAAUUCCAGGUGUAGCGGUGAAAUGCGUAGAGAUCUGGAGGGAUACCGAUGGCGAAGGCAGCCAUCUGGCCUAAUACUGACACUGAGGUGCGAAAGCAUGGGGAGCAAACA
rnacentral:rRNA from 1 species